AACGCACGAGACCUGCGGACCUGCGGAAGGAUCAUUACCGAGUUAUACAACUCCCAAACCCACUGUGAACCUUACCUCAGUUGCCUCGGCGGGACCGCCCCGGCCGCCGCGCAAGCGGCGCCGGACUCCAAGGCGCCCGCCGCAGGGACCCAAAACUCCUUUGCAUUACGCCCAACGGCGGGAAUUUUUUCUCUGAGUGCAUAAGCAAAACAAAUGAAUCAAAACUUUCAACAAUGGAUC
rnacentral:misc_RNA from 1 species